rnacentral:lncRNA from 1 species
CUAAUCUAAACCUAAGAAACAAAAGUUUGGUGCCUCCCUAUCAAGGGGAAAGGAGCACACACGAAAUUAGGUCUUCUAAAAUACAUAUUAUUAGGUCUCCAAGUUUUUCUGAUCGUCCUUAGGGCUUCUUUUGCAGAGAGAAUGAGUUGGGCUUUAAAACUGGCUAUUGGGCAGUUUAUGGGCUUGUCACAGAGUUGGGCUUCUCCAGGUCUGGAAAAUGGUGUUCCACCGUGUGUGAAGGCUCUGAAGCGUGGCCAGGAUGUUGUUCACCGCGGUCACGAGCUCCUGGACCGCGGUGGUUGGUCUAUGACCUCCAAACUUCAUUCCUUCUCUUGCUUCUUUCACAAGACUGCAGAACAUGUCUUUAGUAAAUUGGAAAUAACUUGUGAUCCAACCUUUAGAUUGCUUUUAUUCCACUUGUAUUGGAAAGCUGGUUGUGUCCUUUAUCUUGUUUACAAAUGUGAGCUUGAUCGGAUGGUGAGAAGGUCUUCAUCGGAUGUGAAACUUCUGACGGUUCGAAAUAGGCCAAAAGUGAUUUUUCUCCAAUUUGCAUUGCUUUUGCCUAAGUAACCUGAAAAGUCUUUUAAAACUCCCAAACAUGGAAAACACUUAUAAAACCUUCAAAAGUGAUUGAAAAAACCUGCAUAAGGUACUGAAAGUGAUCCAUAAAAAGGGUCAAAAUCAGGUGUUAUCACAUACAUAGCUCUUAAAAGGAGACUUAAGGAGAGAUGAAUCUCCUAGCUGAGAGAGGAUGAUCCAAAAGUUGAAGAAAGAAGUUUGACACUAACCAUCAGAUCUGUUCGCCACCGCCUCAAAAACACCGAUAGAGAACCAAACGCAGAGGAGAAAGGGCUAACUAAUCCGGACAAAACCGGAACUUUGUUAUCCGAUCAACGUCAGGAAUUACAAAUCCGAUAUAUACGGAAAAAAACUCUGAUCAAAUGAUCCAGAGUAAACGAGAAAAAACUUCCUCUCUCUCUGAAAUAUAUGAAAGAGAGAAGAGAGAAAGGAGCAAAAAACUCUCCUAAAUUGCCCCUUCAGUCGCCUAAGGAGAAAGAAGAGAGCGGUUUUGGUUUUUUAUAUAUAAUAUAUGUUAUUAAAGAGAAAGAGGAGG